rnacentral:misc_RNA from 1 species
GUAGGUGAACCUGCGGAAGGAUCAUUAACACGUGUAUACUCACGUAUUUACAAGCCAAAAGCGAAUUUGUUAUGAGCCUGCUAUUGGGACCCGAGCUGUACCUUGUCGGAUUGGUGUGACCCCUCGGGGUCUCCCUCAAAGGUCUUAUCGUACUCGAUACGAGAGCUACCUCCCAGUAUGUCAGAAAGUCAAACUGCGGAUGCGUAUUAAGCCUGCACCACUGUGCUUGCAUUCCGACGGAAAAUUAGUA